rnacentral:rRNA from 1 species
AUUGAACGCUGGCGGCAGGCUUAACACAUGCAAGUCGAACGAGUGGCGGACGGGUGAUUAAUGCUUGGGAAUCUAGCUUAUGGAGGGGGAUAACUCCGGGAAACUGUAGAUAAUACCGCGUACCAUAGGAUGAGCCCAAGUGGGAUUAGGUAGUUGGUUAGGUAAAGGAUCACAAAGCCGACGAUCUCUAGCUGGUCUGAGAGGAUGACCAGACACACUGGGACGGAGACACGGCCCAGACUCCUACGGGAGGCAGCAGUGGGGAAUAUGGCACAAUGGGCGCAAGCCUGAUGCAGCCAUGCCGCGGGUAUGAAGAAGGCCUUCGGGUUGUAAAGUACUUUCAGCGGGGAGGCGUUACCAACAGAAUAAGCACCGGCUAACUUCGUGCCAGCAGCCGCGGUAAUUC